rnacentral:piRNA from 1 species
UCCAAUUUCUUCAUCUGAUGCUCCUG